AGCACCAACUCACAGAAAAAUAAGCACAAGAAAUUAGCUAUGUAAUUCCCGUAACUAUCCCCUGUUUUCGCGCAUCACCACCACUGUCACCACCGCGGCACCGCCGCCUAUACAACCCACUACUACCAUAAGCACCUCCUCUCGUUAACUAAGACAAAGUGAAACCAUUGUCCUUUAUGUACAAGUCAAGUUGUAACAAACCGUAGCCGAGUCGAAACCCGAAAUCACGUAGUCCCUCUCUCUCUCUCCUCAUUAGAGCGAGCCACCACCGUCUACCACCACCCAGAAGCUGCCUCCAUGAACCUCCGACCGCCUACUCUCAAAACAGUACCACUCUUGUGCCGCCUCACACGCAACCCAUCUUCCUCCUUGUCUCGUGCUUCUCUGUUUCACGAGACCAAAUUGGUCUUGAAACCAAUUCCCCCAAUUGGAGUAAUAUAGUAUACUGUACCUAAUAUCCAAAAGUCAACCUUUGCUUCCUUUUAACCACCAAAUAAAAUGAUGCUGAGCUCGGGAGAUACGGUACAUUGAACAGGAAGUACAAACUACGGUUGAGGUACGAAGAAGAUCGUGGGAUGCCUUAGAGUGAGGAUGCAACCAUCAAAUUCACGAUCGAUGUUUAAUAAAGAUAACUAUGUCAUUAGUAAUGAAGGGAUAUAUUAAUUAAACUCUAAGUUUGAUUUCACGAUUUGAGUUAGAUUUUUAAAUUAACGUUAAACAUGUUAGAAAUAUUUAUUAAGGUUUACUUAGAUUUCAAUGAAAUUUUUUAAAGAAUUAAUCGAAGUGAAGUAUAGUUACUGUUACUCAACAGUAGUCAGUAAAUGUAAAAGGUUAUGUCGCCUUGUAUUUCCCACGAGGGAGAUACGGCAAGUGACGCUCCGACUAAAUUAGGGUUUCCGCUGCUAAUUAAAGAUAAUUAACCUAAUUAAUGGUGUUUGGAAG